GCAAAACUCACACCUUCCACAUCUACUUAUCUGACGACAGAGAAGAAAACAGACAGUAGUGGACCCAUAGUUUAACAUGAUGGACUACAGGACAGGACUGGUACUGUUAACCAUCUACUGGGCAGGUGUUGAUGGUCAGACUCUGACUGAAUCUGGACCUGCAGUGAAAAGUCCUGGAGAAUCCCACACACUGACCUGUACCACAUCUGGAUUCACAUUCAGCAGCUACUGGAUGGCCUGGAUCAGACAGGCUCCUGGAAAAGGACUGGAGUGGAUCGCUUGGAUCAGUAGUGGUAGUGGCAGCACUACUUAUUAUUCCCAGUCUGUUCAAGGUCGUUUCACCAUCUCCAGAGACAACGGCAGAAACCAGCUGUAUCUGCAGAUGAACAGUCUGAAAACUGAAGACUCUGCUGUUUAUUAUUGUGCACGAGAGACACAGUGA